CGCUAUCACUCCUACGGGGAGGCAGCAGUAGGGAAUCUUCACAAUGGGCGCAAGCCUGAUGGAGCAACACCGCGUGAGUGAAGAAGGGUUUCGGCUCGUAAAGCUCUGUUGUUAAAGAAGAACACGUAUGAGAGUAACUGUUCAUACGUUGACGGUAUUUAACCAGAAAGUCACGGCUAACUACGUGCCAGCAGCCGCGGUAAUACGUAGGUGGCAAGCGUUAUCCGGAUUUAUUGGGCGUAAAGAGAGUGCAGGCGGUUUUCUAAGUCUGAUGUGAAAGCCUUCGGCUUAACCGGAGAAGUGCAUCGGAAACUGGAUAACUUGAGUGCAGAAGAGGGUAGUGGAACUCCAUGUGUAGCGGUGGAAUGCGUAGAUAUAUGGAAGAACACCAGUGGCGAAGGCGGCUACCUGGUCUGCAACUGACGCUGAGACUCGAAAGCAUGGGUAGCGAACAGGAUUAGAUACCCUGGUAG
rnacentral:rRNA from 1 species